rnacentral:rRNA from 1 species
UACAUAGGGUGCAAGCGUUGUCCGGAAUUAUUGGGCGUAAAGCGCUCGUAGGUGGUUCGUUACGUCGGAUGUGAAAAUCUGGGGCUCAACCCCAGACCUGCAUUCGAUACGGGCGAACUAGAGUGUGGUAGGGGAGACUGGAAUUCCUGGUGUAGCGGUGGAAUGCGUAGAGAUCAGGAGGAACACCAGUGGCGAAGGCAGGUCUCUGGGCCAUUACUGACGCUGAGGAGCGAGAGCGUGGGGAGCGAACAGG